rnacentral:rRNA from 1 species
UCGCGCAAACUUUGCAAUACACGAAAGUGUGACAGGGCUAUCCCGAGUGCCGUCCGCUGAGGAUGGCUUUUACCCAGUCUAGAAAGCUGGGAGAAUAAGGAGAGGGCAAGUCUGGUGUCAGCCGCCGCGGUAAUACCAGCUCUCCGAGUGGUGUGGAUGUUUAUUGGGCCUAAAGCAUCCGUAGCUGGCCAAGCCAGUCCCCUGUUAAACCCAACGAAUUAAUCGUUGGAUUGCGGGGGAUACUGCUCGGCUAGGGGACGAGAGAGGCCGACGGUAUUCUCGGGGUAGGGGUGAAAUCCUAUAAUCCCGGGAAGACCACCAGUGGCGAAGGCUGUCGGCUAGAACGAGCCCGACGGUGAGGGAUGAAAGCUGGGGGAGCGAACCGG